rnacentral:rRNA from 1 species
GACGAACGCUGGCGGCGUGCUUAACACAUGCAAGUCGAACGGAAAGGCCCUGCUUUUGUGGGGUGCUCGAGUGGCGAACGGGUGAGUAACACGUGAGUAACCUGCCCUUGACUUUGGGAUAACUUCAGGAAACUGGGGCUAAUACCGGAUAGGAGCUCCUGCUGCAUGGUGGGGGUUGGAAAGUUUCGGCGGUUGGGGAUGGACUCGCGGCUUAUCAGCUUGUUGGUGGGGUAGUGGCUUACCAAGGCUUUGACGGGUAGCCGGCCUGAGAGGGUGACCGGCCACAUUGGGACUGAGAUACGGCCCAGACUCCUACGGGAGGCAGCAGUGGGGAAUAUUGCACAAUGGGCGGAAGCCUGAUGCAGCAACGCCGCGUGCGGGAUGACGGCCUUCGGGUUGUAAACCGCUUCCGCCUGUGACGAAGCGUGAGUGACGGCAAUGGGUAAAGAAGCACCGGCUAACUACGUG